GAUGAAGAACGUAGCGAAAUGCGAUAAGUAAUGUGAAUUGCAGAAUUCAGUGAAUCAUCGAAUCUUUGAACGCACAUUGCGCCCCCCAGUAUUCUGGCGGGCAAGCCUGUUCGAGCGUCAUUUCAACCAUCAAGCCCUGCUUGUGUUGGGGUCCUGCGGCUGCCCGCAGGCCCUGAAAACCAGUGGCGGGCUCGCUAGUCACACCGAGCGCAGUAGCACAUCUCGCUCAGGGCGUGCGGCGGGCUCCAGCCGUUAAAGCACCCACCUUUCGCAAGGUUGACCUCGGAUCAGGUAGGAAUACCCGCUGAACUUAAGCAUAUCAAUAAGCGGAGGA
rnacentral:misc_RNA from 1 species